rnacentral:rRNA from 1 species
AAUGAACGCUGGCGGCGUGGUUAAGACAUGCAAGUCGAACGGUUUUUGUUGUGUAGCAAUACAUAACAAAAGCAGUGGCGAACGGGUGCGUAACACGUGAACAAUCUACCUUCAAAUGGGGAAUAGCUCGCCGAAAGGCGAAUUAAUACCGCAUGUGGUUGCCUCUCGCAUGAGAAGCAUACCAAAGUCAGGGACCGCAAGGCCUGACGUUAGAAGAGGAGUUCGCGGCCUAUCAGCUAGUUGGUAGGGUAAUGGCCUACCAAGGCGACGAUCGGUAGCCGGCCUGAGAGGGUGAUCGGCCACACUGGAACUGAGACACGGUCCAGACUCCUACGGGAGGCAGCAGUGGGGAAUUUUGCGCAAUGGGCUAACGCCUGACGCAGCAACGCCGCGUGGAGGAUGAAGGUCUUUGGAUUGUAAACUCCUGUCAGCAGGGAAAAAGCAACUUAGCCUAAUACGCUAGGGAGUUGAUUGUACCUG